CAUGUUCUCUAAGGAGAGAGAAAUCCAGGCUCCUGACUGUUGACGGUGCUGUCCUCUGUGUAUGAAGAUGCUGCUUCUAACCCUUUUACUCCUGUAGUGUGGAUGAGUCUGCCCCAAGUCACCUACAGCUACAUCGGUCCCCCUUGUGGUCAACUGCACUUAUCUGCAAGAUGACCAAAAGACUAUCUGUGGCCUGUGCAAAAAAGCACCAAGGCGACCAGAGUCCUUGGAGGAUGUGAAGGAUGGAUCCAGGCCUUUAGGCCUCAUUACCAUCAGAUAAGCUAAGUGCCUGUAGACACAUUUGUUAGCUUCAUCUUAUCAUUUUAUUUUCCUUCUAGAUGAAGGUGGUUCUGGUAAUGGGUAAAAUAGGAACUCGGAAAUAUGAGCAAUAAGUGGGGGGUGGGGGCAGCAGCUUCCACAGCUCAUCUUCUGAUUGCCCUGGCCCAGCUGGCUGGCUACUAUCCUGUAAGUCUUUCCCUGUAGCCAAGGUCCUGUGCCUCUCCUGGGUAGGUAAGGCUGUGUCUAGGUCCUUCUUUUCCCCCUUGUUCAGGAAAACAAACAAACAAACAAAACAAAACAAAACAAAGAAUCCUUUGGCCUGUUGGGCUCUGAGACAUCUCAGACAUCCUUGGGGAAUGAGGGACAUGACCAUGAUUUUCAAAAGGCUGGGUCAUCCCGGGAAGGAAGUGGGUGUAAGCAGGGUUGAGUAAGGGUUGUUUGUACUGCUCUCCAAGGCCACACUAGGAAGCUUUGGAGUCCCUUCUGAUACAGUGUAUCUUUUAACACUUUUCCCAGCCAAACCAGUGUGGGAGAGAGUACUAAGAACAGAGUCUUCUUCCAGCAUUGUUGCUAUGUAACCCUUGGCCCUGGGAAGCUUGUCUUUUUCACCAAACCCUCAAACCCCUCUGACGGGUGUGUUUGGCAACCUGCUCCUCCAAGUACUCUACAAAAGUUAUUUCACACCUCCUCACCAUAGCCCUGGGAAGGGAGCAAAGAUAAUGCUUCCUAAUGAGUACUUCUUCACCAAUAAGCAUUUAUUAAACAGUCACUGUGUCAAGUCAAGUCAAGACAAAUUUUUUAAGCACUAAGCAAACACGUCAGGCACUGUGCUAAGCAGUGAGAAUACAAAGAGGAAAAAACCAGUCCCAGCUCUCAGGGUGCUCAGUCUAAUAGGGGGAAAAUACAAAGAUAACCAUGUCCAAAUACCUAUCUAUCUAGACACUCACAAUAAGGAAGAUGGGGAAGGUCUUCUUACAGAAUGUGGGAUUUUGGUUAGGACUUCAAGGAGGCCAGGAAGUAGAGAUGAGGAACAGAAUUCCAGGCAUGGGGGACUGUCAGCAGAAUAGCAAGCAGACAGGUUUAGAGGGCAGAGUAUGAAUAUGACAGUAAGGUGUAGGUAGAAAGGGGCCAGAUUGCUAAUCAUUUUAAAUCUAAACAGAAUUUUAUAUGUUUUAUAUGUGACCCCACACAGGGAUACAAGAACAAAAAUCUAAACAACCCCUUGCUCUCAAGUUAUUUUUUUUUUCUUUCUAGGGAGAUAAUACAGUAGACCUUACAUAUAGAAGUGCCUAUGCAAUAAAUACAGAAAUCCAGUCAAUGAUGGGGAGGGAGGGGGAAUUCAGGCAUUUAGGCUCGUAGCUGGAAAAGUGCCACCUGACCUCUCCUAAAGGAUGGAUCCAUUUAGAGAUGGCUAGUUGGUGAUAGACCUGAGUUCAAAUCCUGGCUCAAGAUACUCUAUAAAAUGGGUAUAAUAGCACCUACUUCCAAGGGUUGUUAGGAUAAAAUGAGAUAAUAUUUAUAAAAACUACUACACAAAUGCUAGGUAUUAGGUUGGUUUUUUUGGGGGCGGGGUUAAGGUGGUUAGAAGAAUACUCAUUAGGGUAUUCUAGAACUGAGGAUGGAUAAGAUGAUGUCUAGGACCCUUUCUAAUUCUAGAAAUUUAUGAUUCUUAGACUUCCUAUUACAUGCUCCAAUCAGGCUAAAGUUCAUCAGAGGUGUCUCUUGUGCUUGUGGCCAAUGCUACUGUACCACUUCCCCCCCUCCCCCCUGCCCUGCUGCCCGUGUGCUCUGCCUGGCAGCUGUGGACCUACUGGAGCCACCAGCCAGUGGAACUAAUGUCCUCUAAUGAGAUCCAGGGCUGGAAUAGCCAGGCGGGUUUAUUGUCUUUGGCUGGGUAAUGAGACUCCUCAUAAACCGGGAAAAAUCGGGGCAGCACAGGGGAGGAAAGAGUGUGGGGGCAGGGGACCGAGAAGAGGCUCUGUGUUUUCCAGAUUUCAUCUUCAUGCAGAGGAACUCUUCAGUCUAAUGAGUAUGAACACUUCCCAUCUCCCAUUCCCCCUUUUGGUGGAUCAAGUAUUGGACAUGGAGUCAAGGAAGACCUGGGUUCAAAUCCAAUUUCUGAUCCUGUGUGUGACCUGGGUCUGGGGCUCAGAGGCCAGGAAAUGGGCAAGAUGACUUCUGCAAAGACUUAUUAGUACUGCUCUAUUUGAAGUCUCCAAGUAGGACCAAGACUAGAUCCCAAGGAUUCCCUUUCAGCUCCUGGCUGCUCUUAGGGAGAGGACCCCAGAUGGCCAACAAAGCCCCAGCUGGGCAGGGAGCCAGCAAGAGAAGAUGGGAGUGCCAAAAGGCUCCUCCAUGAAAUGGUACAGAACAAAGGCUUGGCCAUACCUGUUGCUGGGGGAGAAUUUGACCACUGGAGCAUUCAGGUGCCAACAUCUGUGUAAGGAGGCCACCUGACUCUCCCUCCAGUGACUAUUGCUACAAACACAAUUUCCAGUCAGAGGGAGGGGGGCAGCUUUUGGAGGGAGAGAGGAUGGUUCUCCAAGCUGUUCUUGGACUUCUUUACAUCUGUCCCAGGUGGCCUCAAUAAGAGGUUGGAGACUUCUGAGUUCUCUUUCAAGGAGAAAAGAAGGGGCUCACCUUCCUGCUUCCAGUGGAACCGAAGUACCCACUAACCAAAAAGUUAGCACAAAGAAGACCAGAUCCGGGGCCUCAAGGGUAGAGAUGCCAAGUAUGUCUACUCUCUGCAAUCACUCCAGGGCGAGAAGGGGCAAUCGUCAACUAAUCAAGUACUCACAAUGUGAGGCAAGUACAAAGAGUGAAAUGAUUCCUUCUAGAAAUGACCUGACAUUCUAAUGAGAAAGUCAAAAACGUGUAAAAAUAUAUACAUACAGCAUAAAUAUAAAUUUAAUAAAUACAAACAUGUAAAGAAUGGUUUGGGAAGGUGGGCACUAACAGUUGGAGAGGAUCAGGAAAGCCUUUUAGAAGAUGGUCCUUUGAGCUGCAUCUUCAAAGAGAAGGAUUCUAUGAGGUCGAGGAUAAUGUAAAGACAACAAGCAAAUGUUGGAGAAACCCUUCUGAAUGCCCCUCCCAGAAAUUCAGGGAUCAAGACAACUCACUGGAAAAGCCUAGGCAAGGAUGGACCCAAUUUUAACCUCAGAGAAGGGGACAAGGUGGGAGAAGGAGACUUGUCCUCUUUGGCCUCCCUGCCAUAAUUAAUGCUUGGAAUGAAUUUCACAUUCCAGCCAGACUCCUACCACAUACUCUGUAUUUCAGUCUACCUCUCAUCCCUAAGCUUUUGCAUAAGCUGUCCCCCAGGCAUGGAGUGCCAUCCCUCUCAGCCCCACCUCAAAAAGCCUCUGGUUUGGGGUGAGCUAGGUGGUCCAGGGCACCGGCCCUGAAGUCAGGAGGACCUGAAUUCAAAAAGGGCCUCAGACACUUACUAGCUGUGUGACCCUGGGCA